rnacentral:tRNA from 4 species
UGGGGAGUGGUGAAAUGGAAUCACACGUGGCUCUGACCCACGGUUUCCAGGUUCGAGCCCUGGCUCCCCAGCCA